AUGCUGAUUAUUUGCUGAUAUGCUCUACGUUUUACUUGUUUGGCAGAUUGGGGACUGAAGGUUGAUGUUGUUGGUUUUUGUUUUCUUGACCUUGCUUCAAAUUAUGAACCCCCAGAUUCACUUGUGGAGUGGCUUGAAGCUGGUGAACAGCCUGUCUAUAUUGGAUUUGGUAGCCUUCCUCUUGAAGAACCAGAGAAAAUGACCAAUAUUAUUCUUCAAGCUCUGGAAAUAACUGGACAGAGAGGCAUCAUCAACCGAGGCUGGGGUGGCCUUGGUAAUUUGGCAGAACCAAGUGAUUCUGUGUAUUUAGUGGACAAUUGCCCCCAUGAUUGGCUAUUCCAACGAUGCUCUGCUGUGGCUACUCCCGGUUUCU